AACAGCUGGGAAUUCUGUGAUAAGUACUAAGGAAAUAACAAGUGUCUUGAUUUUUUUUUUUUAUCUCUCUCUCUCUCUCAGUAAUCCAAAGAGAUUUGCAGAUUUUAUCCUAAUACAACUCUGGAAAUAUCUCCAUCAGUGUGUUAAGGGCAGGUGUGAUUAGUCUCAUCUUAGAGAUAAAGAAACCAGAGAGGAAAGAAGGGACCAGCCUUUCUCAAGUUGACUCAGCAAGUCAGCAGAUGGAACCUGGAAAGUUCAGAGGCCUUGACCUUGCAGCAAGGUGUCCAGAGUGAACUGUAGCAGAAGAGGCAAAAGAACUCAAGACAACUUUUUUUAAAAAAAAGAAUGAUUUGGCAUCAUCCUCUGGACUCUGUUUCAUGAUCAACUAAGAACAAGCUCAUUUACCAUCUGGUCACGAAUUGUACCUGCAGGUGUUUCCAAACAUAGCAGGAAAUUUUUUCCUUAGAACAUACUUGAAAAGUUCUCAAGUUUUUUUUGUUGUGCCAUUUUUCCCAUUGUCGACUGUUGCCUGAAUCUUUUCUUUACAUUUUUACUUAUUUAUAUAAUAGUGCUGACAAUCACACAGCAGUGCUAUCUUGUGCUAUCUUGUCCCUCAU
rnacentral:lncRNA from 1 species